rnacentral:misc_RNA from 1 species
GAUGAAGAACGCAGCGAAAUGCGAUAAGUAAUGUGAAUUGCAGAAUUCAGUGAAUCAUCGAAUCUUUGAACGCACCUUGCGCCCUUUGGCCAUUCCGAAGGGCAUGCCUGUUUGAGUAUCAUGAACACCUCAACUCUUCAUGGUUUUCCAUGAUGAGCUUGGACUUUGGGGGUCUUGCUGGCCUGUGGGUCGGCUCCUCUCAAAUGAAUCAGCUUGCCGGUUUUUGGUGGGCAUCACAGGUGUGAUAACUAUCUACGCUUGUGGUUUUCCACCAGGGUAACCUUCAGCAGUGGAGGUUCACUGGAGCUUACAAAUGUCUCUCCUCUGUGAGGACAGCCCUUUGAAUGUUUGAUCUCAAAUCAGGUAGGACUACCCGCUGAACUUAAGCAUAUCAAUAACGGAGGA